AGAACGAACGCUGGCGGCAGGCUUAACACAUGCAAGUCGAGCGCCCCGCAAGGGGAGCGGCAGACGGGUGAGUAACGCGUGGGAACAUACCCUCCGGUUCGGAAUAGCUCAGGGAAACUUGGAUUAAUACCGGAUACGGCCUAGCGGCGAAAGAUUCAUCGCCGGAGGAUUGGCCCGCGUCUGAUUAGCUAGUUGGUGGGGUAAUGGCCCACCAAGGCGACGAUCAGUAGCUGAUCUGAGAGGAUGAUCAGCCACAUUGGGACUGAGACACGGCCCAAACUCCUACGGGAGGCAGCAGUGGGGAAUAUUGGACAAUGGGCGCAAGCCUGAUCCAGCCAUGCCGCGUGAGUGAUGACGGCCUUAGGGUUGUAAAGCUCUUUCGCUAGGGACGAUAAUGACGGUACCUAGACAAGAAGCCCCGGCUAACUUCGCGCCAGCAGCCGC
rnacentral:rRNA from 1 species